rnacentral:rRNA from 1 species
CCCUUAGAUGUUCUGGGCUGCACGCGCGCUACACUGAUGCGUUCAGCGAGUUUAUAACCUUGCCCGGUAGGGUUGGGUAAUCUUCUGAAAACGCAUCGUGAUGGGGAUAGAUUAUUGUAAUUAUUAAUCUUCAACGAGGAAUUCCUAGUAAGCGUGAAUCAUCAGUUCACGCUGAUUACGUCCCUGCCCUUUGUACACACCGCCCGUCGCUACUACCGAUUGAACGUUUUAGUGAGGCAUUUGGACCGACGCAUCUCAGUUUAACCGCUGGUUUGUGUUGGAAAGACUUCCAAACUUGAGCGUUUAGAGGAAGUAAAAGUCGUAACA